GAUCAACGCUGGCGGCGUGCUUAACACAUGCAAGUCGAACGAAGUUUUUCCUUCGGGAGAAACUUAGUGGCGGACGGGUGAGUAACGCGUGGGUAACCUGCCCUGUACAGGGGGACAACAGCUGGAAACGGCUGCUAAUACCGCAUAAGCACUUAGCACUGCAUGGUGCAUAGGGAAAAGGAGCAAUCCGGUACAGGAUUUACCCGCGUCUGAUUAGCCAGUUGGCAGGGUAACGGCCUACCAAAGCGACGAUCAGUAGCCGAUCUGAGAGGAUGUACGGCCACAUUGGGACUGAGACACGGCCCAGACUCCUACGGGAGGCAGCAGUGGGGAAUAUUGCACAAUGGAGGAAACUCUGAUGCAGCGACGCCGCGUGAGUGAAGAAGUAUUUCGGUAUGUAAAGCUCUAUCAGCAGGGAAGAAAAUGACGGUACCUGACUAAGAAGCACCGGCUAAAUACGUG
rnacentral:rRNA from 1 species